UACAUGGGGUGCAAACGUUGCUCGGAAUCAUUGGGCGUAAAGGGCGCGUAGGCGGUUUGGUUAGUUAGGCGUGAAAUUCCUGGGCUCAACCUGGGGGCUGCGCUUAAUACAGCCAGACUAGAGUGUGAAAGAGGGUCGUGGAAUUCCCAGUGUAGAGGUGAAAUUCGUAGAUAUUGGGAAGAACACCGGUGGCGAAGGCGGCGACCUGGUUCAUUACUGACGCUGAGGCGCGAAAGCGUGGGGAGCAAACAGG
rnacentral:rRNA from 1 species